GUAUUUUUGAUUGGGUGAGGGUGACAUGGAUCUGACGUGCAAAUGUAAUUUGCACAGAGUGAAAGUGUGGUGUGUGUGUUUCUCGUCUCCAACCCUGCUUGCUUGAUGCUUUGCCCAUUGCCCAUUUCAUUUUCCACCGAAGCACACCAGAUUCCACUUCCUUUACAUCCACGGCCACGGAGCAUUUGAUUUCUCCCCUUUUUUUUUUUUUUUUUUUUUUUUUUUUUUGCACUUUCCGACACACCAGUCUAAUCGAUCCAAUUGCAGCUAUGAAUGUUGAUCAAAAUCCCACGAUUCUUGCUUCAGGGUUUGCACGCUUGACAAACAUUUGAUCUUUAUUUUGUUUCUUAUCCUAUACUACCGCCAAAAGGCUAAAUCUUGAAACCGAACAUUUUUGUGGGAAUUGUAAAGCCUGGCUCUUUUGAGAUCCUGCUCGAUUUAUUUAUGGAUUUCACUUUGGCGAUUUGACACUCUGUUCUCCGGGGUUUCACAUAGUUGUUUCAGAUUGUAGUUUGUGAAUUUACUUGGGUUUAGUAGACUGCAGUAUUCUUUAUGUUGAGCCUAUUGGAUUUAUUGGUUAUUUGAGAAGAUAUGGAGUACCUUCCUGUUGAGGUUAUUGGAAAUAUAUUAUCUCGGCUUGGGGCUGCUCGAGAUGUUGUGGUUGCUUCAGCUAGUUGUAGAAAGUGGAGAGAGGCUUGGAGGAAUCAUCUGCACACGCUCGCGUUUAACUCAAAUGAUUGGUCUGUGUAUCAUGAACUCACCAGGAGCAGACUUGAGAUCAUUAUAACACAGACAAUUUUCCAGACUAGUGGACUGGAGUGCCUUUCAAUUAUUAUGGAUAAUGUUGAUGAGUUCUCUGCUUCUCCGGUGAUUGCUUGGCUAAUGUAUACAAGAGAAACAUUGCGCCAGUUGCAUUUCAAUGUAAAGACAACACCAAUCAUUAAUAUACUUGAAAAAUGUGGUCGCCAGAAGCUGGAAGUGUUGACACUGGCACACAAUACGGUAACUGGUGUUGAGCCUAGUUAUCAGAAAUUUCCUUGUUUAAGGUCUCUUUCACUGAGCCAUGUUGGCAUAUCAGCUUUGGAUUUGAGUCUUUUGCUUACAAUUUGCCCAAAAAUUGAGGUCUUGAAUCUUGUCAGCUUAGAUAUUGUGAUGUCAGAUCCACAGGCAACUAUGGAAUUGAGCAGUAACUCACUUAGUGAUAUCUAUGUUGAAGCAAUUAACUUGGAUAAGAUUACAUUGGAGGCUGAUAGCUUGGAGAAGUUGCAUCUGAAAGAUUGUACUCUGGAGGUUUUUGAGCUUGUAAGCAAGGGAGCAUUGAGAUUCCUGAAGAUUGAUGAUGUUAGUGUCAUUCAUCUUGAUAUUGGGGAGAGCACUGAAAAUCUUGACACUGUGGAUGUUAGUAAUUUCACAAUCAUGUGGUCCAAGUUCCAUCAUAUGAUUGCAAAGUCAUCAAAACUGAGAAAGCUUCGGCUGUGGGGAGUAGUGUUUGAUGAUGAGGAUGAGGUUGUAGAUAUAGAGACAAUUUCUUCUUGCUUUCCCCAGUUAAGCCAUCUAUCCUUAAACUAUGAGCUAAGAGAUGCAGCACUUCAGUAUGGCUUGCAAGGUUCUUUUCAGUUUGAAAAUGUGGCUGUUUUGGAGCUUGGUUGGACAGUAAUUAAUGACCUCUUUUCUCACUGGGUAGCCGGACUCUUAGAAAGGUGCCCUAACCUCAGGAAGCUAGUUAUUUAUGGGGUCGUGUCAGAGACCAAAACCCAUGAAGAAUGCCAUAUACUAGCUAACUUCACAUCCUUCAUUGUAAGGCUUAUGAGGAAGUAUCUGCAUGUUGAGGUUCAGUUCGAAUAUGAGUAGAUAUUUGCAACUGCAUGCCACUCUCUGAGUUUGAAGUGAAUUGAGUUGCACACAAGGAGUAAAUGUUUCUUAUUAAAGUGGAUGAAAUUGCUGAGAUGCUGAUGCCGGGACGUAGGAUUCUGUCUUGGGAUGUCGUGAUCUUUGGAUUGUAUCUCCAUUCUCCAGCUACAAGUUGCAUACUAUUAAUAUGAAGUGAUCGGAUUGGGAUGUACUAAUUUAUUUAGUUUUGAGAUGAAAGCAAGUUUCCAGAAGCAUGGUUGAACUAUGUAUGAGGUAUGAAAGAUCAAAUUCAUUCUUGAAUAUAAAUUAGGAAAAUCUCUAGUGGUUUUAUUUAUUUAUUUAUUUUAGGUUGGGGGUUGUGGUGACCUAACUGAGAAUGACAAUAAAGAUUUGUUUUCAGUAUCCAUUGAACUACUUUUAAAUCCACAUCACAAAAUUUUGACCUGGUAGUUCCUUGAAAGAUAAUAUGCUUAGAACAA